UCUUCUUCCCCAUUCCCUGCCCCUUGCAGCCUCCCCUGACGCAGACAGCAGCAUGGCCAGUGGAAAGACAUCAGAGACUUGCAUUUCAUGGGAGACAGCAUCAGUGAAAGCCAAUCAACAUGACACUAAAUAAAUAAAAAAUUUCUCUUCAGAGAGCAGAUGUUGGAGUUGAGCUGACUGCCUUGUCACCUGGGCAGCCAUCACCCUAUUGCUGGCAUUUUUGCUCCGUGAACUUUGCCCGCAGCAUUAAGGAGCACUUUCCUGUGGACAUCUUUGUGGGCAUUUCUGACCAGAGAGAGAAAGAAUGGGGAUGAGAGGCGCUUACAUCUUCAAACAAGAAAUAGGGUGUGAGGAAUUCAUGAUGACCAAAAUUCUGAUCCCGAACCACAAAAAGAAGACACAAUGGAAGUGACAUUUGCAUAUGUCCAUUUAUCAACUUUAAUUUUGGGUAUCCUCUGUGGGAGACUGCCAAAAGGUAUUACUAAUGCAAAUGAGAAGAAGCAGCUCUUUCUUAAACAGUUAAAAGCCUCACUCCACUCCCAGUGCAGAAUUUUGUAUUAUGUACACGGUCAUAUAUUAAAAAUAAAAAUGAAGAUGUUUGGCCCCCAAGAUUUCUUUCCUUCUGAGGCUGGGACGGACAAUUUGGAUCUUGCUCAGAUACCAGGUUGCUGCCUGAUAACCAUGCGUAAGGCUGUUAUAACGUGUGUUGUUGUGACACAUCCAUCCCAAGGAUAUGACAAGAAUGCAAGAGUGUCUCUUGUCUUGUACAUCUUCUCUAAGCAUGGAUUUGACUGUACAGGAAAAACUACUGAGUGGUUACCUCUAGGGAAAUAAAGAGUAGCAAAAUAAUUAUUCUUACAUGAUUUACUUUAAGUACAAAGCAUUCUAAAUUGAGAAAUUACUUAAAAAUAUUUCUAAGUAAGUGAUACCAGAAGAAGCUUAAUCAUAUAAAGAUUCAAUUAACCAAGACAAAAAUUAAGGCUUGCUGUGUCUUUCUUGCACUCUCAGCUUUCUACGUCUUCUAGUCAUUCCGUAGAACACAAAAUAGAAAAAGAAGCAUCUCUGGUGUCAGUAACAAAUUUUUUUAAUCACUGUUUUUUCCAAUGAAAUUAUGCAUGAACUCCAAUAAACCACACUCAGUGCCUGAAGACUGUAAGAUAUUUUCUGGCAGGUAUCUUGCUUGCGAAAAGCUGCCCUUUUGCCAGCCACCAUACCCAUCUUGGGAGCAGCUUUUCUCCCUGGAUUUGAAAACAUUUGAGAAUAAAAGUUAUUAUUUUCAGUG